rnacentral:rRNA from 1 species
UAGGGAAUAUUGGUCAAUGGGCGCAAGCCUGAACCAGCCAUGCCGCGUGCAGGAAGACGGUCCUAUGGAUUGUAAACUGCUUUUAUUGGGGAAUAAACCUUUCUACGUGUAGGAAGCUGAAGGUACCCAAUGAAUAAGCACCGGCUAACUCCGUGCCAGCAGCCGCGGUAAUACGGAGGAUCCGAGCGUUAUCCGGAUUUAUUGGGUUUAAAGGGUGCGUAGGCGGCCUGUUAAGUCAGGGGUGAAAUACGGUGGCUCAACAUCGCAGUGCCUUUGAUACUGAUGGGCUUGAAUACACUUGAGGUAGGCGGAAUGUGACAAGUAGCGGUGAAAUGCAUAGAUAUGUCACAGAACACCGAUUGCGAAGGCAGCUUACUAUGGUCUUAUUGACGCUGAGGCACGAAAGCGUGGGGAUCAAACAGGAUUAGAUACCCUGGUAGUCCACGCCCUAAACGAUGAACACUCGCUGUUGGCGAUACACAGUCAGCGGCUAAGCGAAAGCGUUAAGUGUUCCACCUGGGGAGUACGGUCGCAAGAUUG